UUUUCUGCGUCCUUUGGCAUCAUGCUUGAAAAGUUACAUACCAAGAAAUCUUAUAAGCAUAAAUGCGAAAAACUAGAGAUACAAAAGAUUGAAGUUUAAUCGAGUUCCCCAGAUGUGCCUGGCAAAAACCAAACUUGAAGGAAAGGUUGGACUUUAACAAUUCCUGAGUAAACCUCGUUCAGUUUGCAGCUUCUUCACCAUUAUCAGAGUCCCCUGCAUCAUCUGAAGAUUCUUCUUUCUGAUGCUCUUCCCCGCUAGCAUUUGAUUUUAUCUUCUUCUCUUUCUUCCUAUUCUUUUUCUUUUGGCGUUUCAAACGCUUCUUUGCCGUCCGUUCUUCUGCAGCUUUUAACCUUUCCUCCCUUCGCUUAUUGAACUCGGCCAGUUCUUUUCUUUUCUGGUAGUCAGCAUCCAUCCUUACCAGCCGGUCUUGCUCUUUCCGCCUCAUUUGCCGAUACUGUUGCAAACCACAUUUGUAAGAAUACAACUAGGAAACCAAGUACAUGUCCAUAAAUAUCUUUACUAUUUAUAUGUGCCUACACACUAGCUGGUUUGGCAGUAUUAGGAACUAAUAAUAAGCAAUCACCUAUUCACAUCUCAGACAAAUAAUAUGCAGUUAUUGUAUACUUCUUCUGAACGUAUUAAAAAUGUAAUCAACCUAUUUAGACUGCUUCAAUAUCAAACUGAAAGAAAUGAGAAAUCAUUAUUCAUAAAAAACAGUUAAAUAAAGAAUUAAUUCGGAAACAAUUAAUUAACUAAACAGAUUAAUUAACUAAACUAGAAAAGUUCAUCCUAUGUCCCAAUUGACCACCGCUGAAUCUAAUUCUCCAUCGAGUCAAAAGCAAAACCAAAAAAUAUCCACAUUCAGAUAGUGACAUGCUAAAACCUAUAAGCAGCACCACCACAAAUUUGGUAACGAUUAUCAGAAGUAAGCACCUCAUAUAAAUGCUACUUGGAUACCCAUAUCUGCUAGUGCUAAUAGAGUGAUCAAUAGCCAAGAUUAAGAUUAGUCCUAUCCUGCAGUUCUUGAUAAAGAGAACUGCAUUAAUUUAGGAGAUGAUCAAUUGGCCAGGCAAUGCUUUUAUUCAUUUUAGAUUUUAGAGGAGCUUGUUGCUUCUUUCAUACACGGUUGCGAAAACUUAGUAGCUGGUCCUCUUUUUUGGGCUUUGUAACAGCCUAGCCAGCUGCCUUUUUAUUUUUCAAAUGAAUAAAUCACUAACAAUACAAAAUGACAGGUGAUAAAUAGCUAAAAUUUCAGAUAACAUGUCUGUCACUUGAAUGUCUCUGCACUCCACAGACACAUGCCCACUCAAACACCCAAAUAGACCAGCUCAAAGGAGCAGAAGCACCACGAACCUCUGGCAGACAAAUGGCACCCUUUUAAAUGAAAAGUAAUACCAUUUUCCCAAGCAAUUAUAUGAACAAGAAGAAUAUCAGAGUCAACAUCACAUCAAUGGGUCGAUGCCUUUACCAUAAAUAAAGUCCAUUGUCCACAACUGCUCCCAAUUCAAAACAGAGGAUAGAGGCAGAAUAAACAGAAUGUGUUCAGGAUAAGGUUCCCAAAGGUUUGCUCAUGAUACAAACUCUGAAAAUCCCAAAUAGCUACAUAAAAUAGCCAUUGAGCCUCAAUAUUAGCUCUUUUCAUACGUAUAGCACAUCGACCUAUAUGGACAAAUCUAAGAAUACUAAAAGGAAAUUCCUAACUAACAUCACUCCUUUUCAUACGUAUAGCACAUCGACCUAUAUGGACAAAUCUAAGAAUACUAAAAGGAAAUUCCUAACUAACAUCACUC
rnacentral:misc_RNA from 1 species